UGGCAUCAGAGCAGUAGCAUCAGUAGUGGGACUAGGUGCAGGAGGCUCACCACUCGUAUCGAAGUUAUCUCAACCGAGGGGUUGAACCUAACCAGCCUAUCCUUCCAUCGAAGCUGCUCAUCCACCAGUCAGUCCAUGAUGUAACUCUUCAGCUCCUCUGAAGUUCGGAAUGACUUGAUCGCUUCGACUCGGGCAGCAGCUACCUCCUCGGCCUUCGACCAUUUCAGCUCCUCCACCUCCUUGGCUAGGGCCGCCUUCGACCAUUUCAACUCCUCUUCUCUUGAAUGGCCUCCUGCGCCUUCGCCAUCUUACUCUUGGCCAUCUCAUCACACCUCUUCAGCCUCUAGAUCUCUUUAUCU
rnacentral:lncRNA from 1 species